rnacentral:rRNA from 1 species
GGAAUUUUUCGCAAUGGGGGCAACCCUGACGAAGCAACGCCGCGUGGAGGAUGAAGGCCUUCGGGUUGUAAACUCCUGUCGACUGGGACGAAAACUGUCUGACCUAAUACGUCAAGCAGUUGACUGUACCGGUGGAGGAAGCCACGGCUAACUCUGUGCCCGCAGCCGCGGUAAUACAGAGGUGGCAAGCGUUGUUCGGAAUUACUGGGCGUAAAGGGCGCGUAGGCGGCCUUUCGAGUCCUGUGUGAAAUCCCUCGGCUCAACUGAGGAACUGCACAAGAUACUGUUUGGCUUGAGGUCGGGAGAGGGAAGCGGAAUUCCGGGUGUAGCGGUGAAAUGCGUAGAUAUCCGGAGGAACACCGGUGGCGAAGGCGGCUUCCUGGACCGACACUGACGCUGAGGCGCGAAAGCUAGGGGAGCAAA